CCUACGGGUGGCAGCAGUCGAGAAUCAUUCACAAUGGGGGAAACCCUGAUGGUGCGACGCCGCGUGGGGGAAUGAAGUUCUUCGGAUUGUAAACCCCUGUCAUGUGGGAGCAAAUUAAAAAGAUAGUACCACAAGAGGAAGAGACGGCUAACUCUGUUCCAGCAGCCGCGGUAAUACAGAGGUCUCAAGCGUUGUUCGGAAUCACUGGGCGUAAAGCGUGCGUAGGCUGUUUCGUAAGUCGUGUGUGAAAGGCGCGGGCUCAACCCGCGGACGGCCCAUGAUACUGCGAGACUAGAGUAAGGGAGGGGGAACCGGAAUUCUCGGUGUAGCAGUGAAAUGCGUAGAUAUCGAGAGGAACACUCGUGGCGAAGGCGGGUUCCUGGACAUUAACUGACGCUGAGGCACGAAGGCCAGGGGAGCGAAAGGGAUUAGAUACCCUGGUAGUC
rnacentral:rRNA from 1 species